rnacentral:rRNA from 1 species
GUCCACACCGUAAACGAUGAUCACAAGAUUUUGGUCGCAAGAUCAGAGUCCAAGCGAAAGUGUUUAGUGAUCCACCUGGGGAGUACGACCGCAAGGUUGAAACUCAAAGGAAUUGACGGGGGCCCCGCACAAGCGGUGGAGCAUGUGGUUUAAUUCGAUGAUACGCGAGGAACCUUACCUGGGCUUGAAAGUUAGUGACCGUUCCUGAAAGGGAGCUUUCCGCAAGGACACGAAACUAGGUGCUGCAUGGCUGUCGU